AGUCACGGAAGCCUAACUGGUAAGGCAGCAGUUUGCUAAACUAUGAGUAAUCUGAAUAUUCCGAUGUCUGAGUUCGAAUCUCAGUGCGACCGCCA
rnacentral:tRNA from 1 species